rnacentral:rRNA from 1 species
AGCAGCCGCGGUAAUUCCAGCUCCAAUAGCGUAUAUUAAAGUUGUUGCAGUUAAAAAGCUCGUAGUUGAAUUUCGGGACCAAUCUGCCGGUCGUGCCUCCGGUACGCACUGGUUUUAUUGGUUUCUCCCUUCUGACGAACCAUGAUGUCAUUAAUUUGGUGUCAUGGGGAAUCAGGACUGUUACUUUGAAAAAAUUAGAGUGUUUAUAGCAGGCUCACGCUUGAAUACAUUAGCAUGGAAUAAUGAAAUAGGACGUUUGACCCUAUUUUGUUGGUUUCUAGGAUCGACGUAAUGAUUAAUAGGGAUAGUUGGGGGCAUUAGUAUUCAAUUGUCAGAGGUGAAAUUCUUGGAUUUAUUGAAGACUAACUACUGCGAAAGCAUUUGCCAAGGAUGUUUUCAUUAAUCAAGAACGAAAGUUAGGGGAUCGAAGACGACCAGAUACCGUCGUAG